GUGUUAGGCAGAUACUUAUGUCCUCUGGCUCUACAACAUUCACAAAGAUCGUUAACAAAUGGAACACUGCUCUUAUUGGCCUCAUGACAUAUUUCCGUGAAGCAACGGUGCAUACACAAGAGUUGCUGGACCUGCUGGUCAAAUGUGAAAACAAGAUACAAACUCGUAUUAAGAUUGGUUUGAACUCAAAAAUGCCUAGCAGGUUUCCUCCUGUUAUUUUCUACACACCAAAGGAAAUUGGAGGGCUUGGAAUGUUGUCAAUGGGUCACAUAUUGAUCCCCCAGAGUGAUCUUAGGUAUAGUCAGCAAACAGAUGUUGGUGUCACACAUUUCAGAAGUGGAAUGAGCCAUGAAGAGGACCAAUUGAUCCCAAAUUUGUACCGGUACAUACAGCCUUGGGAAAGUGAGUUUAUAGACUCUCAGAGAGUUUGGGCCGAGUAUGCUUUGAAAAGGCAGGAAGCCCAGGCACAGAAUAGGCGCUUGACUCUUGAAGAUUUGGAAGACUCAUGGGAUCGUGGAAUACCUCGAAUCAAUACAUUGUUCCAGAAGGAUCGCCACACCCUUGCAUAUGACAAAGGAUGGAGA
rnacentral:misc_RNA from 1 species